rnacentral:rRNA from 1 species
AAUGAGAGUUUGAUCCUGGCUCAGGACGAACGCUGGCGGCGUGCCUAAUACAUGCAAGUAGAACGCUGAGGUUUGGUGUUUACACUAGACUGAUGAGUUGCGAACGGGUGAGUAACGCGUAGGUAACCUGCCUCAUAGCGGGGGAUAACUAUUGGAAACGAUAGCUAAUACCGCAUAAGAGUAAUUAACACAUGUUAGUUAUUUAAAAGGAGCAAUUGCUUCACUGUGAGAUGGACCUGCGUUGUAUUAGCUAGUUGGUGAGGUAAAGGCUCACCAAGGCGACGAUACAUAGCCGACCUGAGAGGGUGAUCGGCCACACUGGGACUGAGACACGGCCCAGACUCCUACGGGAGGCAGCAGUAGGGAAUCUUCGGCAAUGGACGGAAGUCUGACCGAGCAACGCCGCGUGAGUGAAGAAGGUUUUCGGAUCGUAAAGCUCUGUUGUUAGAGAAGAACGUUGGUAGGAGUGGAAAAUCUACCAAGUGACGGUAACUAACCAGAAAGGGACGGCUAACUACGUGCCAGCAGCCGCGGUAAUACGUAGGUCCCGAGCGUUGUCCGGAUUUAUUGGGCGUAAAGCGAGCGCAGGCGGUUCUUUAAGUCUGAAGUUAAAGGCAGUGGCUUAACCAUUGUACGCUUUGGAAACUGGAGGACUUGAGUGCAGAAGGGGAGAGUGGAAUUCCAUGUGUAGCGGUGAAAUGCGUAGAUAUAUG